rnacentral:snRNA from 1 species
GGAUGUGAGGGGAUCUGGCUGUGAUAUCUGUCACCUCAUUUAUUGCCAGGGUUGAUCCAGAGGAUCUGGCUGGCAAGGCAGGUGUCCCCUUUCUCCCUCCACGCUCCCUCCGUGCUAAGUGAAAGAGGACGGACUCCCCUCCCCUCCUUGGAGGACAGUUCCUCCUUUGAGUGUGUACCAGUAUCUGUGCUCCCCUGCUAGAAUCUCCAAAAUAGCUCUCACCUGCUGCACAGUCAGACUUCAUGGGAAUCUGGAAUCAUAUUAGGGUAUUGUACAAGUUCAGUGUUGCUUGUUUCU